UGCCCCAUGGCUGAGUUGGUUACAGCGUCCGACUGUUAUAGCCCAGGUCCUCCAGUAUCUAUACUGCAAAUACAAUCGGAAGGUCGUGAGUUCGAGCCUCACUGGGGCAG